UACGAGGGGGGCGAGCGUUGUUCGGAAUUAUUGGGCGUAAAGAGCUCGUAGGCGGUUUGUUGCGUCGGCUGUGAAAACCUGAGGCUCAACCUCAGGCCUGCAGUCGAUACGAGCAGACUAGAGUGUUGCAGGGGAGACUGGAAUUCCUGGUGUAGCGGUGAAAUGCGCAGAUAUCAGGAGGAACACCGGUGGCGAAGGCGGGUCUCUGGGCAACAACUGACGCUGGAGGAAGCGAAAAGCCGUGGGGAGCGAACAGG
rnacentral:rRNA from 1 species